CCUUCUAAACGACUAAAACGCAAACGGUUGCCUCCAUCAAAUACUGAAAUCGUCAGUCUCCGUAGUUUCUCAAUUCUCAGUUUCGAUUCUUCGAUCAAAUCGACAACGAGGCUCGCAGUCAUGUAGUUGUCUUCGAGAAGCAGAAGGAGAGGUCGAGGAGCAAGUUGAGAUCACAGAUAUGGGGAGCAGUACAACGUCACGGAGGCGGCGGAGCAGGUCAAGGUCACAGACGAUAUAGAGGAGCAGGUUUGGGUCGCAGAUCUGAGGAGCAGGACGACUACACGGAGGCGACAGAACAGGUCGACUUCGCUUUGCAUGUGAAAUUUCUCGCCGGAGAAAGAAGAUCGGAGUGCUUGCUUUGGUCGGAGUGGAGAAGGACUGGCAAGACCGGCCCGUUUAUGCCGGUCUGGGCUUUGACCGGUCCCUGUGUUCAUAAGCAACCAACCCGACCCGGAUUCUCAACGGCCGGUCCAGGCCCGGUUC